AGGAACCCAGAUUGCAAGAUUAAGGUGUUUUCAUAAAGCCAUGAAAAAAUGUCCCAAUUUUUCUUUGAUUCUUUUCACACCUCACAGAAUUCAACGCCUGCUAGAGAGAUGCUUGUGUUCCUAAUGCACCCCAAGUCUCAACUUUUCUUUUGAAAAACAAAAAUUUCAUUGCAUCGUUUGCAGUGUUUAAAAGUACAUCUGUAAGACAGAAUAAAAGGAAAAAUUGUUCGUGUUUGAAACAUUGAAACUCUUUGACGUUUCUUUAAAUGAUGAUGUGGCUGAAUGGAGGCGAAGAAAAGGCCUCUUCUCCCAAGGAACAGAGCCAAUUUUAUUUUCUCAGGUAAAAAUGAAGUGAUACAUCAAAAAAUGGAAGGGGUCUAGCAGAGCUUAAUUCCUGAUGGGCUAUUGUCCUUUAACUCUCAUGCAAGAAAAGCAGACUUAAGAACUCCCAGCAUUGGUCAACUGAGAAAAAAACGACACGAUUAAUAUACUCUUUCAUUUUAAAAGAUUAAAUCAUGGAAUGUCAGGUUCCCAAGCAAUAAAAAGACGCCAUUGUUCCCUCCUGAUUUUCCAAAGAUUUAAAUUUUGCAAAAUCUACUGGAAAAAUCUUCUUGGUCGAGUCAUGCAUGAGAGGGUGUAAUUAGAAGGAAAAGCUCCGGAAGAGACAUCGGCUAGGAUUUGAGAUUGUGCCAGCAUUUGAAUUUAACCAUCUAUGUAUGCCUCAAGGAAAUGGAUAACUAGAGAGGGAAAAACAACAAUUUUCUGAAAUUUCUCAUGCAGUGAGAUGAAAUGCUGCCAAUCAAGCAUAGAACCUACAUUUUCUCCUUCAUGCUGGAUUUAAUGAUAAAUUUGAAGCUACCAACUGUUGCAGGAACACAGAAUAGAGAAUCGAUGUCUGAUCUGAAAAACCAUUAUAAUCCAAUGCUGCACUACUAACCACAUGUUGCCACCAUUGUCUCAGCCACCACAGCCAGCAGAUACUUCAGUUUGAGAGAUUAGUUUACCAUUUUUAUGUCUAUCUCUAUUUUUUUUUCGUAAUUUGCAUUAAACUCAUUUAGAA